rnacentral:rRNA from 1 species
UACGUAGGGGGCUAGCGUUGUCCGGAAUUACUGGGCGUAAAGCGUGCGCAGGCGGUUUUGUAAGCCAGAUGUGAAAUCCCCGGGCUUAACCUGGGAAUGGCAUUUGGGACUGCAAGGCUGGAGUGCGGCAGAGGAGACUGGAAUUCCUGGUGUAGCAGUGAAAUGCGUAGAUAUCAGGAGGAAUACCGAUGGCGAAGGCAGGUCUCUGGGCUGACAC